CCAGUCUGGUGCGCAGUCCUUUACCCAUCAACAGGUUAGCUGGAGCUUCUCCAGUCGUAGGAUGAGGCGUGUUUCGGGAAACAUUACUGUAUACAGCAACCACGUCGGCUUCUAAAGGUUCAUCUGUGAAUGACACCAUUUAUUUUACGCCUGACAACACUAAUGAGAUCAUGCCGCAUGGCAACGCGAUGUCAUAUAUAUUACUGUUUACUGAUUAUACCAGUUGUUUCGUUCUCACAGCCUCAACUGCUUCUGACAAAAAAAGUGAGUUCUGAGUAGUACUUUCAAUGGCUAUUGAGA